AAUGAACGUUGGCGGCGUGGAUUAGGCAUGCAAGUCGAGCGAGAACCCCGCAAGGGGGGACAGCGGCAAACGGGGUAGUAAUGUGUCGGAACGUGCCCUCAGGUCGGGGAUAGCGGCGGGAAACUGCCGGUAAUACCCGAUGACCUCGAGAGAGCAAAGGUGUGACUCCGCCGGAGGAGCGGCCGACAUGGUAUUAGCUAGUUGGUGAGGUAACGGCUCACCAAGGCGAUGAUGCCUAGGGGAUGUGAGAGCAUGAUCCCCACCAUUGGGACUGAGAAACUGCCCAGACACCUACGGGUGGCUGCAGUCGAGAAUCUUCGUCAAUGGGCGAAAGCCUGAACGAGCGACGCCGCGUGCGGGAUGAAGGCCCUUGGGUUGUAAACCGCUGUCGAGGGGGAUGAAGGCAUUCAGGUACUCCUGAAUGUUUGACAGAGCCCUGGAGGAAGCACGGGCUAAGUUCGUGCCAGCAGCCGCCGUAAGAC
rnacentral:rRNA from 1 species